UACUGUUGGGAAGAGUGGAGCAGGCCCUACUGUUGGGAAGAGCGGAGCAGGCCCUACUGUUGGGAAGAGCGGAGCAGGACCUACUGUCGGGAAGAAGGAGGUAGAAAGGAGCAGGCCCUACUGUCGGGAGAAGGAGGUAGAAAUGAGCAGGCCCUACUUUUGGGAGAAGGAGGUAGAAAGGAGCAGGCCCUACUGUUGGGAGAAGGAGGUAGAAAGGAGCAGGCCCUACUGUUGGGAGAAGGAGGUAGAAAGGAGCAGGCCCUACUGUUGGGAGAAGGAGGUAGAAAGGAGCAGGCCCUACUGUUGGGAG